AGAAAGGGCGUGUUCCUGGGGUUAUUUUAACAAUCUGUUGGCAGUGCUCAUAGGCACCACCAAGCCUCGCAAGGAAAACAUCUGAAAUUCGACAGGCACUUGACAGCCUCGUUAGUGGCUGCCAGUGUUAAACGUGUCUGGAUAUUUCUGAGCUUUCUGCAUGUAUUGCUUUCACUGUUUUUUUCUGGACAUAUGAAUACUGAUAAACUGCUUCUGCAAGACCAGAAUUGCUUUUCGCCUAUUAAGAAGCAAGAAUUGAUCACAAAAACUAUAGAGACAAAAUUAAAUUGGACUUUUCUUUGGUCAGUAGGGAAAGAGAAUUUUCCAUUCAAAAAAAUUGUGGACAAUAGGCCAAUGUUUUUAAAUUACACAUAAUUAAGGACAAUAG